AGAAUCAACGCUGGCGGCGUGCCUAACACAUGCAAGUCGAACGAGAAAGGGGUAGCAAUACCCUGAGUAAAGUGGCGCACGGGUGAGUAACACGUGACUAACCUACCCUGGAGUGGGGGAUAACUGAGGGAAACCUUAGCUAAUACCGCAUAAUACCUACGGGUCAAAGGAGCAAUUCGCUUUGGGAGGGGGUCGCGGCCGAUUAGUUAGUUGGCGGGGUAAUGGCCCACCAAGACGAUGAUCGGUAUCCGGCCUGAGAGGGCGCACGGACACACUGGAACUGAAACACGGUCCAGACUCCUACGGGAGGCAGCAGUGGGGAAUUUUGCGCAAUGGGGGAACCCUGACGCAGCAACGCCGCGUGGAGGAUGAAGUACUUCGGUACGUAAACUCCUUUCGAUCGGGACGAUUAUGACGGUACCGAGAGAAGAAGCCCCGGCUAACUUCGUGCCAGCAGCCGC
rnacentral:rRNA from 1 species